rnacentral:lncRNA from 1 species
UCAAACCCCCCUUCCCUCAGACUCUCUCUAACACUCGAAACCCUACCCGCCUCUGUCGUCUUCUCCGACUAGUUCUCGCCGGAGUCCAUGGCUUCUCAAGCCAAGGACGACAUUUGCUCACUUCCCUUCACCCCAAAUCAUGGCUAUUCAAGGCUUUCGAGGUUCAACCUCAACGAUCCCUAUUCAGAUCCUCUGUCGAUUUGUGAUAAUGUGG